rnacentral:rRNA from 1 species
GUGGGGAAUAUUGGACAAUGGGGGGAACCCUGAUCCAGCCAUGCCGCGUGUGUGAAGAAGGCCUUUUGGUUGUAAAGCACUUUAAGCGAGGAGGAGGCUACCGAGAUUAAUACUCUUGGAUAGUGGACGUUACUCGCAGAAUAAGCACCGGCUAACUCUGUGCCAGCAGCCGCGGUAAUACAGAGGGUGCAAGCGUUAAUCGGAUUUACUGGGCGUAAAGCGCGCGUAGGUGGCCAAUUAAGUCACAUGUGAAAUCCCCGAGCGUAACUUGGGAAGUGCAUUCGAUACUGGUUGGCUAGAGUAUGGGAGAGGAUGGUAGAAUUCCAGGUGUAGCGGUGAAAUGCGUAGAGAUCUGGAGGAAUACCGAUGGCGAAGGCAGCCAUCUGGACUAAUACUGACACUGAGGUGCGAAAGCAUGGGGAGCAAACAGGAUUAGAUACCCGGGUAGUCC